rnacentral:rRNA from 1 species
AGCUCCAAUAGCGUAUAUUAAAGUUGUUGCAGUUAAAAAGCUCGUAGUUGGAUUUCUGGUGUGAGGGAACGGUCCGACCUCUGGUGGGUACUUGCUUCCUCUCACGCCAUCCUUGAGUGGUGCGUUCUGGCAUUCAGUUGUCGGGACGUUAGCCGCUCAUCGUUUACUGUGAGAAAAUUAGAGUGUUCAAAGCAGGCUUAUGCCGUUGAAUAUAUUAGCAUGGAAUAAUAAGAUAGGACUUCGGUACUAUUUUGUUGGUUUGCGCACCGAUGUAAUGAUCAAUAGGGACAGUUGGGGGUAUUCGUAUUCAGUUGUCAGAGGUGAAAUUCUUGGAUUUAUGAAAGAUGAACUACUGCGAAAGCAUUUACCAAGGAUGUUUUCA